UACGUAGGUGGCAAGCGUUGUCCGGAUUUACUGGGCGUAAAGGGCGUGCAGGCGGUCUGUUAAGUCUAGGGUGAAAGCUCCCGGCUCAACUGGGAGAGGUCCUUGGAUACUGGCGGACUUGAGGGAGGCAGAGGAAAGUGGAAUUCCCGGUGUAGUGGUGAUAUGCGUAGAUAUCGGGAGGAACACCAGUGGCGAAGGCGGCAUCCUGGACCGGUAUUGACGCUGAGGCGCGAAAGCUAGGGGAGCAAACGGG
rnacentral:rRNA from 1 species